AAAGAAAAAAAAAAGCUUAACGUUGGGAUUACACUGCACACCACACCAUGUCCCUUCUCCUGCUCCUCUCCUUUCCCCGCUCACGCCUGUGAAUUCUCCCCGCCGCCGCCUCGCGGCCAUCCGAUCGGACGCACUAUCGGGCCGCCACGGACCGCAGCCCGGCGGGGAGGAGGGCAUGUCAGGGCCCCUCGAUCGGUCCGCUAGGCCACGGACGGAGGGAGUAUCAGGUUUCGAGGGCUCAAGUCAUGAUGAACGGAAAGAACAGAAGUCAGAUGCGGACAAUUCUGAGGAUGACAGAACAACAAGAAUGGGAUCUCUCAAGAAGAAGGCCAUAAAUGCGUCUAAUAAAUUCAGGCACUCCUUAAAGAAAAAGAGCAGACGGAAGGCUGAAAAUAGAGGCAGUUCUAUAUCAAUUGAAGAUGUGAGAUACUUUGAGGAGUUACAAACAGUUGAUGCAUUUCGUCAAUCACUGAUAUUAGAUGAACUGCUACCUGCAAGGCAUGAUGAUUAUCAUAUGCUGUUACGGUGUUUGAAGGCAAGGAAGUUUGAUAUCGAGAAAGCAAAACGUAUGUGGGCAGAAAUGCUUCAGUGGAGGAGGGACUUUGGUGCUGAUACUAUAAUAGAGGAUUUUGAGUACACAGAAUUAGAACAAGUUCUGCAGUACUACCCUCAUGGCUAUCAUGGUGUUGACAAAGAAGGAAGGCCUGUUUACAUAGAAAGGCUUGGAAAAGUUGAUCCAAACAAACUCAUGCAUGUAACUACUAUGGAGCGUUAUGUUAGGUACCAUGUGAAAGAAUUUGAGAAGAGCUUCUUGAUCAAGUUCCCGGCUUGUUCAAUUGCAGCAAAGAGACACAUAGAUUCAAGCACAACAAUUUUAGACGUUCAAGGCGUGGGCUUGAAAAAUUUCAGCAAGACAGCAAGGGAUCUGAUGACGCGGCUGCAGAAGAUCGACAAUGAUAAUUACCCUGAGACAUUGUGUAGAAUGUUCAUUGUCAAUGCUGGCCCAGGCUUCAAGAUGCUAUGGGGCACUGUCAAGUCCUUCCUUGAUCCGAAAACAACUUCAAAGAUACAAGUCCUUGGAGCUAAAUAUCAGAGCAAGUUACUUGAAACAAUCGAUGCCAGCGAGUUGCCAGAGUUCCUUGGUGGCUCUUGUACUUGUUCAGAGCUUGGAGGAUGCCUUAAAGGUGAAAAAGGGCCCUGGAUGGAUCCAAACAUAGUAAAGAUGGUUAUUAGUGGCAAAACUCACCAUAAGAGGCAAAUAGUAACAGUUUGCAGUGACGACCAGAAAGUAAUCGUCUAUGAGAAACCACAAUACCCUGCAAUAAAGGGCAGUGAUACCUCGACUGCUGAAUCUGGUUCUGAAGCUGAUGACAUGACAUCUCCAAAGGCAAUAAAGACUUAUGGUACAAAUCUGAAGCUAGCACCAGUAAAUGAGGAAAGGGUAAAACUGACGAAGGUUGCAAGUAUCUCUGCUGAUCGUUCUCGGUAUGAUGUAUCUGUUCCAAUGGUUGACAAGGUUGUAGAUGCAAGCUGGAAUAAAGAAAUCUCUAAUGAAUUGCGUCUUCGAUCUAAAGGGCCAUCUUUUAGUGAGGCAGAAAAGUCUCCAGGAAGUCUUUGUGCUCGAGCAAUUGCAUUGCUUGUGUCUUUUGUCAUGAUGAUUUUCACACUGGUCCGUGCACUGACUACUCGCAUUGAAAAGAGACCACUGGAUAAAUCCACAGAAUUGGAUGACAACUAUUCUGUGUAUUCUCUGGAUUACUCGACAACUAAGGAAGAAUUCCGCCCGCCUUCACCUUCUCCUGGAUUUACAGAAUCAGAUAUUCUUUCAUCUGUGCUCAACAGACUUGCAGAACUUGAAGAGAAGAUUGAUGUUCUACAAUCAAAACCAUCAGAAAUGCCUUCUGAAAAAGAGGAGUUGCUUAACGCUGCUGUACGACGUGUGGAUGCAUUAGAGGCUGAACUCAUUGUGACUAAGAAGGCAUUUUAUGAUGCUCUUAUGAAGCAAGAAGAGUUACUUGCAUACAUUGACCGCCAUGAGUUCUCCAAGUUCGAGAAGAAAAGGAAAUUUUGUUUCUGAUGAAGAGACUACGCAGUGCAGCUGUGCAGGACUGCAUUUACCUUACGAGUAAAUAUUUUGGUGAAAGCUGUAGGGUUUUUUCCCACCAGUGGUAUACGUUUCGUUCCAGGCAAGUGAAGAGUGAGGGAACAAGACGAACGAACGGUGCAGCCACUGUACUUCUCUUGCUUUUUUUUUUCCUUGGUAUAUAAUGUGUGGGAGUGGCACAAAUAUCACCCGGGUGAUUUCUUCCUUAAAAUCACACGAACGUAACUUUAAGUAUAAUUAUAGUGUAACUCGUAUGUAGUUAUAAAU